UAGGCGGUCCAGCACAGAGUGUACCCUCACUCGCCCUGUACCUCCAGGAUAGGCUCCGGACCCCCGCGACCCCGGCUUGAGGAAGCAUUCAACAAAAAACUUACUGAAAAUUUGAGUGGCCACAUGACGUGCCGUGAGUUCCUGUACAGUCUGACUCCAGGAAGUGAGCCGAAGCGCCAGCUAUCAUUCUGAGACAAAGAGUCACAGGAAGAAGCCAUCUGGCCAAGCGAUGCAAAACAGACUGUGCUUGUGGUGCAAGUAUGUGGCACCUGUGCCCAGAGGCAGACCCCCUUCCACCCAUCCCAAAGUGCAGGACUCCUGCCACAGGAAAUGAAGAGCAAAGUGAGGUCUGGAAGGGGAGUGGAGCCUUUAGUCAUCUCACCGACUGGAUUCAAUGCAAAAUGCAACGUGACCUGGGGUGUCCAGACAUUUGCCUAGGAUCCAACUUUUUCCCACAAUGCUUUGUGGUGAAACCUCAUAAUGAGACACAGCUGUUGCACUUCAUCUCGGGUCCCGUCCGGCAUCAGCAUGUUGUCUGUUACCCUUACGCCUCGUCUGCAGCGCCUUUCGUCAGUCAAGAAAAGGCAAACGAAAAAAAAAUGGCAGUAAGUUAAUGGCUUUGUAAUUUAUUUAUUCUACGGCUCAUUAGCCACAAAAGGCAGUGAGUCACUCCCCGGCCCUGUGGAUAAACAGUGUCCCGUUUGAGUGUCUGAAGUGUUGUUUAGGCAGCAGGAGCGGGAUGGCUGGGGUGAUGUUGGGCCUAAUGAACCGGGACGGCGCACAGAGAAGGUCCAUGGCCCCUGGGAGCAGGGCCCCAUCCACAAUUAGGUCCAUUCGUCUUCGGGAGGAGACUGUGGGGGUUCCUGAGGUGAGUGGUAGGCCACAGCCAGGGAAAGGUACCUACAGAGUGUCGCACUGCUGGGAUACACGAACACACACACAGACCCGCUCAUAUGUUAACAUAUAGGAUAUUACCACAUGAAGGAGGUACGAAUCACACAACCAGAAUUGGUUCCGGUGAACGAUCCAGCUGAAGACCCUCAUCACUUACCAUGAUCUCCAUCAUGACUGUCUUUCUUGCUAAUGUGAUGGUCUGGAACUCUGAUCACAUCCACCAUCUCACACAAAUACUCACACAAAAUCAGAGAUGCAUCCAAACGCAUACGCAUAUACGUGCAAGGCAUCUCACUCACACAAAAACAGGGUAAAUAACACACAUCCCUUCAUUCAUACGCACACAUACCACAGGAAAUAUAGAGUCACCAGUUCAUCUGAAACACGUCUGUGGGCUGUGGGAGGACACUGGAGCAGCU